rnacentral:rRNA from 1 species
UGGGGAAUAUUGCACAAUGGGCGAAAGCCUGAUGCAGCAACGCCGCGUGCGGGAUGACGGCCUUCGGGUUGUAAACCGCUUUCAGCAGGGACGAAGGUUUUCUGACGGUACCUGCAGAAGAAGCACCGGCUAACUACGUGCCAGCAGCCGCGGUGAUACGUAGGGUGCGAGCGUUGUCCGGAAUUAUUGGGCGUAAAGAGCUUGUAGGCGGUCCGUUGCGUCGGAAGUGAAAACUCAGGGCUUAACCCUGAGCCUGCUUUCGAUACGGGCGGACUUGAGGGAUGUAGGGGAGAACGGAAUUCCUGGUGGAGCGGUGGAAUGCGCAGAUAUCAGGAGGAACACCAGUGGCGAAGGCGGUUCUCUGGACAUUUCCUGACGCUGAGAAGCGAAAGCGUGGGGAGCAAACAGGCUUAGAUACCCUGGUAGUCCACGCCGUAAACGGUGGGCACUAGGUGUGGGACCCAUUCCACGGGUUCCGUGCCGUAGCUAACGCAUUAAGUGCCCCGCCUGGGGAGUACGGCCGCAAGGCUAAAACUCAAAUGAAUUG